UUUUUAUAUAAACUCUUUCAGGCGACUAGAUCAAUCCCUGAUCUUUAUUGGUACACCAUAUCUACCCAGCCCAACAAUCAAGAAGGAGUCCCACUUCUUUCAGAAUGUUUUUAAUAAUUGAAGAUUGUCAUCCUUACGAUCCCAAGAGAUCUCAACUGUAAAAUCCAACUUUUAACACCCUGUUUUAUAUUGUAUUGUUGGGUGGUCGACUUUG
rnacentral:lncRNA from 1 species